GUACCCAUUCUAAUUGUGAUUCCCAUUAUAGAAAAUCCGCAAAAGCAUAGAAUUAACAAAAUUCUAAAUCAUUUAGUUCUCAACAGGAGUAGACAUCUAUCGGAGAAGAAUGAUACAGACCUUCUACAUGAUGACCAAACUGCAUUUAUGAUACAAAGAGUUCAUGGGACUCUGUAGGGGAUGACCAAUACUGUAAGAGGGUUUCAACAGUUAGUCUUCGUGUUGCACUCAACAUUGAAAUAAAAAAUCGACACCCAUCAAUUUUGUAUUCUUCAAGAGGAUUCCUGUGCCCAAAACUUCUAACAUUUACCGCUGAACUGAGCCUGUUCAUAUUUAUGAGAUGAUCCCUCCAGAAACAGUCUAGAGUCUUCAGAAGAACUGCCCUCUCAAUUUCCUUGACGUAUGCAUCAUCAUAACCGGAUUCCUGCACAACAUUCCAAUACGAAGCAAUGAGGAGAUCUCCAAGGUACUUGCGAAGAAGAUUAGUAGUUGUCCGGUAUCCACCAUUCUUAGUCAAUUCAUCAGAGCUUAUAACAAGCCAACGCUUUAACGAAUGACAUUUCCUACGGAUUCCUCGAAAAACAUUGGGAGGCUUUGGCAAGUUUGGAAGGUAAAAAUUAUUAAUAUCUACAGAGCUUGAUUCAUGCAGUUGUAGAAGAGACUUCAGCAAGGCCUCCUCAGUGACUCCUGCAAAUGAGCCAUCCAACAGCUUUCCCCCAAUAGCGAUGAACUCCCUCAAGAGUUUGUCCAAGCUCCAGCUCCUUGGAUGCUUAAGGGGAUCAGCAUUGCCAAAGACGAUUUCAUCUACUACUGCUUGCAUGUACUGUGAUAUGUGUUGGGAACAACUUUCAUUGUCACCUGUUAAAAUCAAUUGCCUAAGGUCAUACACAUGUUUCCUUUGUACCUCUAAUACUUCAUCAAACUCAACCAGGCUUUUUCUUAUGCCAAAGAAGUACUUCUCCGCAUUUAUUUGCAGUGCUAAAAGCUGUUUUACAAUCGCAUCACCUUCAAUUGGUAUAUCCUCAUCAUUAGUAAUCCUUGAGAUAAGUUUCACUGCCCACUCAGUAUCAAAAUUGAACUUUUGAAACAUUUCAUCCUGUAAACUCACCAUAAAUCGUGUAGAUCCAGGAUCCCCCUGCCUUCCUGCUCUUCCACGGAGCUGGUUAUCUAUUCUCCGAGACUCGUGUAAAGAUGUCCCAAUGACGUGGAGCCCCCCAAGCCUUUUGACUUCAGACCCUUCAUGCAAACAAUGCACUUCACAAUCCUUCAAAACUGAUAGAUAAGUGAGUGCAAUAGUUGGGCCAAGAGGGUACAUUUCAGACUCCUCAUUAGCAAGUUUCUCCAGCUCAUUAACAUCCAUUGACUGGCUCAUUUCCACAGACUCUGAAAUCAUUGAUUUUGCAUCCUGAAAAGUCCAGCUUUUACCCUCACUUUUACCAACAUAUUUAGCCAUUAGUGCAGUCUUUGCUAGCAGAGCUAAUGAUGUUGACCCAACCUUUAUCUUUGACAUUACCUUUUGAAAGUUUUUUUGGCCAUCAACUUCAACAUCAGGAGCUUCUCGCGUUAAAAAAGAAAGCAAGCUGUCAUCUACAAUUUCUUUGGCAAGCAUUUUUGGGUUUCCUCCCAGAAUUAUAUCAGUUCCUCUGCCAGCCAUAUUCGUAGAAAUAGUAAUGGCAUAUUUUCGCCCUGCUUGGGCAAUAAUUUCAGCUUCCCUUGCAGCAUACUUGGGUCGUGCAUUCAGGACAUUGUGAGGGAUUUCCCACUGCUUAAGCAGAUCUGACAGAUAUUCAGAAUUCUCAACACUGGUGGUUCCAACUAAAACAGGACGGCCCUGUCUAAACAUGUAUUCAAUUUCUUGUCGGACAUACUCCCAUUUCCCCCGAGCAGUCGCAAAAGCUUGUAUAGGUAAAUCUUCACGGAUAUUUGGUAAAUUUGUAGGCACUUCAAUAACUGGCAUUUGGAACAUUUUCAGAAACUCCUUUUCUUCAGUUUUUGCAGUCCCUGUCAUUCCAGACAACUUUGGAUAGAGCUUAAACAACGAUUGGUAUGUGAUUUGCGCCACAACAACCGAAUCAGCCUGAAUCUGCAGACCUUCUUUAGCCUCUACAGCCUGAUGAAUUCCCUCAGACCAUCUUCUUUUCUCUUCAACUCUUCCUGUCAACUCAUUUAUUAUGAGAGCCUUUCCAUUUCUAACUAUGUAUUGAACAUCUCGCCGAUAGAACUCUUUAGCUUUCAAAGCAUUCACAACAAAUCUUGCCCAGGGAUCAUUCUCAUCCCACAGAUCAUUUGUUUCAAGGGCCAUUUCAGCAAGUGCUAUUCCUUCCUCAGUCAACUCCACUGAAUUAUCUUUCAACUCUACAUUGUAAUGAAGGCCUCGAACAAGUAGUUCAGCUACUUUUGCAGCCACUGGAUAUCUUGCAGCAUCUUUAUUAGCCUCACCACUUAUCAACAAUGGAUUUCUCCCUUCGUCAAUGAGAACUGAAUCAACUUCAUCAACUAUUGCAAAAUGAAAUGGCUUUGGCCAUCUCAUCACAAGUUGUUCACUGUUUCCAGCAAGAUUAUCUCGUAAAUAAUCAAAACCAAGUUCUGAAUUAUUGGUGUAUGUUAUAUCACAUCGGUAAUUGGAUCUCCUCUCUUUAGCUGUCAUGCCCUUCUGAAUAAGACCAACUGAAAGACCUAAACAGCGAUGAACACGGCCCAUCCACUCAGCAUCACGCUGAGCUAGGUAAUCAUUCACAGUUACCACAUGGACACCCUCACUGGUCAGUGCAUUAAGAUAUGCAGCCAAUGUUGAAACCAAUGUUUUUCCCUCCCCUGUUUUCAUCUCAGCAAUUGAUCCAUCAUGGAGCACUGCACCACCAAUAAUCUGCACAUCAAAAUGGCGCAUUCCAAGUUUCCUUCUUGCAGCUUCACGAACAACAGUGAAGGCCUCAGCUUGAAUAUCCGCUAGUGUCUCUCCUUGUCUUAAUCUUCUUCUGAACUCCACAGUUUUAGCGCUCAACUGCUCAUCAGAGAGCUUCUGAAUCUGCGGCUCAAUGGCAUUAACUGACUCCACUAGACGAUAGUAGUCUCUUACAACCCAGUAGUUCAAGCUCGUAAAAUCAGUCGCCCUCUUUCUCAAAUUACCCAAAUUCUCCUUCAAAGAAGCAGUAAUAGCCGUGUUGACGCUAAAAUAACAUCGUUGGAACCGAGACAAAGAAAGCGGCGAAUGAGCCGAAGACGUAGGGAAAAUGAAGAUGGGUUUGGUGUAGCAAAUGGAGUGUCUAUUAGGUGGUUUUGGAGCCAAAAAGGAGGGGUUUAAGAGAGCAGGAACUGUGGCCAUUAGGUAUUCGUUUAUUUUUCUUCUGUUCUCUGUGUCUGCGCGUGUUCUUUGAUAGGCUGAAGCUACGUUGCUCUGGUUCUUCGUCCUUGACUCCGUGUGCAUGAAAUUAUCACAUGUUUUGGUUUGCUAUGCUGCAGAGGAAGUUAAGGUGGUGGCGACGAUGACAAGCGACUUACACCCGAAUCUAUGACAGUAUCUUAUUCUUAACGCCUUU
rnacentral:misc_RNA from 1 species